rnacentral:piRNA from 1 species
UCAUUCACAAAUUCCUUACGUUAUAAUGAC